UACGUAGGGGGCAAGCGUUGUCCGGAUUUAUUGGGCGUAAAGAGCGUGUAGGCGGCCAAGCAGGUCCGCUGUGAAAACUCGAGGCUCAACCUCGAGACGUCGGUGGAAACCGUUUGGCUAGAGUCCGGAAGAGGAGAGUGGAAUUCCCGGUGUAGCGGUGAAAUGCGCAGAUAUCGGGAAGAACACCCGUGGCGAAGGCGGCUCUCUGGGACGGUUUCUGACGCUAAGACGCGAAAGCGUGGGGAGCAAACAGG
rnacentral:rRNA from 1 species